UGAAGCCAGUGCAAGUGACGUGGAAAGGAUGGAAUCAGCAAGCGAUGCGGGUGAAUGUUUCAGCCUACAACAAUCCAUGUCAUCAGCGGGUCCGGAAAAUGUGCUAGUGCUGGAUGGACUGCCCCUUGAACCAUUUGUGC